GGUGAGACCGGGCAAAAUUGGUCUUUCUUAGUCUUUGCUCUGUUCUCGUUACACGACAACGAGUAAAGAGGGGCAGCUGUACAAGCCCAUUUUUGCCCGGCCCAGAACCUAAAAUGAGCCCAACUACCCGAAGCCCAAAUUAAAAUGGCCCAGGACCCAAUCACCAGUCAAACUAGGGUUUCAGAAAACUGAAACCCUAGCUUACCUGCCCUCA
rnacentral:lncRNA from 1 species